UGGAACAGAUCAGCAAGUAUCAGAAACAGAACAACAAGAUGAAGAUUGAGCUGGACGAGAGACAUAAUGAGGCAGAGAAUUUAAAGCUCUACAGAACCACAGCGCACACCAACAAGUUCUCAACCAGAUCAGGUCCAGGCUAGAGGAACAUAAAAUGGAAAGAUGAGGAAAUGUCAAGCAAGAUGGCUACUAUAGAGGAUCUUCAUAACUGACUCAAACUCAACAUUGACAAUAUACAGCAGCUUAAUAGUCAGGUGUUACUGAUGAGUUUUGUUCAGCAGUUUGUUCCAGCAAUUUGUUCCAGUUUUAUACUGCAGUCUGUAGCAGUUCCUGAAGUUAUUCUUCCAAAGUUAUUGUUGA